UACGGUGGGUGCAAGCGUUAUCCGGAUUCACUGGGUUUAAAGGGUGCGUAGGCGGGCAGGUAAGUCAGUGGUGAAAUCCUGGAGCUUAACUCCAGAACUGCCAUUGAUACUAUCUGUCUUGAAUAUUGCGGAGGUAAGCGGAAUAUGUCAUGUAGCGGUGAAAUGCUUAGAUAUGACAUAGAACACCCAUUGCGAAGGCAGCUUACUAUACAUAUAUUGACGCUGAGGCACGAAAGCGUGGGGAUCAAACAGG
rnacentral:rRNA from 1 species